GGUGAACGCUGGCGGCGUGCUUAAGACAUGCAAGUCGAACGGCAGUCUUCGGACUGUAGUGGCGCACGGGUGAGUAACGCGUAACUGACCUACCCCAAAGUCGCGGAUAACGAUUCGAAAGAAUCGCUAAUACGUGAUGUGCUGUCAGAUUGUGUUCUGCCAGUAAAGAUUGAUUGCUUUGGGAUGGGGUUGCGUUCCAUCAGCUAGUUGGUGGGGUAAAGGCCCACCAAGGCGACGACGGAUAGCCGGCCUGAGAGGGUGGCCGGCCACAGGGGCACUGAGACACGGGUCCCACUCCUACGGGAGGCAGCAGUUAGGGAUCUUCCACAAUGGGCGAAAGCCUGAUGGAGCGACGCCGCGUGAGGGAUGAAGGUCUUCGGAUCGUAAACCUCUGAAUCAGGGACGAAAGACACUUCGGUGGGAUGACGGUACCUGAGUAAUAGCACCGGCUAACUCCGUGCCAGCCGCCGCUGUAAUAC
rnacentral:rRNA from 1 species